UGGAAACCUACUAAGUGAGAACUUUCAAAGUAAGAGGAAAAUCCGUCGACUUUAAAAAUCGUGAGGGUUCAAGUCCCUCUAUCCCC
rnacentral:tRNA from 1 species